ensembl:lncRNA
UGUGAAACAAGAAAAAUCUGAAUUAAAUUGUAUAUGAAGGCUCUGAAUGUGUUGCCGAUUGGUUGUCAAAUGCCAGAAUGUUGAUGACUUGAAAACUAACAUGAACAUGAACUGAAAUAUGUCAGUAUAUCUUGAUUGUGAUGAGAUGUACUCUAAAUGCUUGAUAACUUUUGUUUGCACUUAUAACACAUCAUCUACUGCUUUCCUCCACAAAGUUACUAGUAUACAUCCUUAUAACUAUCAACAAAUCACCCCAUACAUUAUCUCAUACUGUUUUUUGACACAUUUACAUGUCGAGAGUCCAAAACAAUGUAACUAAUAGCAAACAUGGUGAUAAAGCUGAGGUGCCUAUUUGAUGAUUGUACAAAGUUUCAAAUUGUGUAUUCAUACAAUAACCCAAACAUAGAAGCCCCUAAUAUUUGUCUUGUUGAAUAUUGUUGGUGCAUCUAUCUGAGAUGACUCAAAGUUGGCAAAACCUUUACGGGUUCUUUCAUUAUUGUCACUUCACUUCUAUGGCAGGAUUAUUUCAAUGGCUGUUCACAUGGCUGUAGCUACUAAAAUUAACUGUAAGCUGAGCAUCAGAGCAUUGUUUACAGAAAAACAGAGUGGGAGGCACUUACUCCAUCCUGCUCUAAUUCAGUGGUUUGAUUCUCUAAAUAUCUGGAUCAAAGAGAGAAACAAGAAAGAAUGAGUACAAGUUUUCAUACUUUGUGUAUCUGUGUAACUUAGAUUCUGUUUCUUCCAUUUCUAAGGACUUGAGGCCCAUUCCGAUCUUGGUUCAGCACAGGCUAGUUAAUAUGAGCUUGGUUUGAAACCUCCCCUAUGGGGUGUUUUCAUUAAACAUUCUGAAAAUGCAUUAGAUGGUAUGGUACUCUAAUUUCAACCAACCAACUCUUCACUUGGCCCUAAUGUGUCGAGUGUCCACACUGUAGAUGUUCCCUGAUUAAAUAAGCCCCAGGACUUCUUCGAUCUUCAGUUCUUAAAGAUGCUUAGUUUAGCUCCAAGUAGUCCAGAAGACAGCGCAGACCUCCUGGGUGCCAAGGCUCCCUCCCAAUCAGGCUCCUCUUUGUUCUGACCUGCUACUGGCCUGGGCCCUUGUAUCCAGUCGCCUCAAAGGGAAUGGCCAACCAGGCUUUUCAUGUUGUGAAGGGAUGUCGAGCUUCAGAGCCCAGUACCAUCCAAGGCUCCAGGCUCCAGUAUUCUCGCAGCUCCUGAGCAGUGGCAGUAGUGACAUGGGUUGUGCCCCCCACUGCGUCAUCACAUUCCCAGACCCUUGUGUACAGAGCACUCUCCCACAGUACACUCCCUCCUUAUGUUACCCCCUCACUGCACUGCACCACACCAGGACAAACAAACUGAUGAGUCAAAACUUAAUAUAGAAACAAUCCCUGCCUGUUUUAUGUCCUCUGGUAGUUGUAGAUUCAACUCUCCAUUUCAAGGUAACGGUUCAGUUCUAAAUGACUCUGAAUCUUUAAGUUGCAGCAUUUAGCUAAUCUCCAUCUGUUAAUUUCCUUGUUGAUACAAGAGUGAAGUGAUUCACAAAUACCUCUUACAGGUGGCAGGUUCUUACAGAUACCUCAUCACAUCACCAAGCCAUUUCCUCUAACAUACUGUAGGUUUUCAAACAGACCAUUUACUUAGAGUAUUUUGUGGUCAGUAAGAUGAAAGUCCAUAAUAAACAAGUUCUACUAGGUUUAGGGAAAAUUAGAAAAUUCUGAAUUUGAACAGUGACAAAAAAUGUUACUUGAAAUGGCCUCACACACC